GGAUUUUUCAAGUCUCUCUCAGGUAUUUGCUUCUUCCUCUUUUCUUUUUCUUUGUGUUUUGAGGAUGGUUUCUUGUGAUGUGUGCAGCUGAUUAUGUAUAGCUAUCACCUUCUUGGCUCGCAAGAGUCUCGGUUAUAACGUACAUUUUCUGUUUUCCAAUUUUAAUUAUGUGAUCACUUUCAUUGUUAAUGUUCCUUUCUGCUGAAUCCCAUCAAACAAUAAAUGUAUUCUCAAUGGGCAUUCAGUUCAUGAUCUUAUUUAAUGUUUUAAUGGGUAUUUGGGAUUUACUUAACUGCGGAGAUAUUUGGAUUCAUACGACAAAAUUGUAUUGUCAAUCCAUUGAAAACUUGUUUUUUUGAAGUUAACCAAUUACAGAUUACUUAUGCUUUCCUCUUUGUAUAUGAGAUGUGGAUUAGUGUGAGUAUGACAAAUUAUAGUAACUACUUAUGUGGAAGAGGGAAUUUGUCAAUGGAAAACCAAGAAAUGGUAUAUCUGCUUGCCAGGGGACAAAAAAUUUUAUGAUUUGAUUUGAAGUAUAAAAUUUGGGAAUAAAAACUUCCGGGAAUUCAUAUCUUUAAUAUAUGUUUUUCUUCCAAGGCUUGUCAUUUUUUUUAUUGCUUUAUCAUUUAGUAGGUGGUUUUUGCUGUUGUGCUGUUGUUGAUUUCAUUAUUUAAUUGU
rnacentral:misc_RNA from 1 species